CUGUAAUCCUAGCUACUUGAAUGGCUGAGGUGGGAGGAUUGCUUGAGCCUGGGAGGUCGAGGAUGCAGUGAGCCAUGAUUGCAACACUGCACUCCAGCCUGGGCAACAGAGCAAGACCCUGUCUGAAAAAAAAAAAAAAGUCAAUUUGUGUAAUCUAUCACAUCAAUAGGCUAUAGAAGAAAACUCAUAUGAUCACAGCGAUAGAUGCAGAAAAAGCAUUUAAUAAAACUCAGCACCCGUUCAUGAUAAGAAUUCACCCUGGGGCUUUUAUAAAAUUAAGAAUAUAAUAAUAACUUUUACCUGGGUAGAUUAUUGGUCAAGCAUACCUGGAGAGUUAACUCACUUUGCUAGAGUUUUGUUUUUUUCUUUUUUUUUCCUUUCUUUUUUUUUUUUUUUUUUUUUUAAAGAGAUGGAGUCUUGCUCUGUCACCCAGGCUGGAGUGCAGUGGCACUAUCUUGGCUCACUGCAACCUCUGCCUCCUGAGUUCAAGCAAUUUUCCUGAAGUGAUUCUCCUGCCUCAGCCUCCCAAGUAGCUGGGAUUACAGGCACGUGCCACCACGCCUGGCUAAUUUUUGUAUUUUUAGUAGAGACAGGGUUUCACCAUCUUGGCCAGGCUGGUCUUGAACUCCCGACCUUGUGAUCCACCCGCCUCAGCCUCCCAAAAUGCUGAGAUUACAGACAUGAGCUACUGUGCCCGGCCUCUUUCGCAAAAAAAAAGUGAAAAAACAGAUUCCGACGAGGCUGUGGUGAAAGGGAGCUCUUGUACACUGUUGUUGAAAAUGUAAAUUAGUUCAGUCACUGUGAAAAGCUGUUUGGAGAUUUCUCAAAGAAUUUAGAACUACCAUUUGACCCAGCAAUCCCAUUACUGGGUAUAUAUCUCAAAGAAAAUAAAUUGUUCUACAAAAAAACACAUGUACUCCUACGUUCACUGCCAUUUUUCCAUAAAAUAGAUAACAUGUUUCUAUACUUCAGGAGCCCCAAACAACUCUUGGUCUAAACAGGGCUACAGAGAAGCAGAAGCCAAGGGAAGGAGGCAGAGAAGCAGAAAGAUGGAGAGACGCACAGAAAGAGCCAGAAGGAAAGCGAAUGAGCAGCAGGGAGGGGGCCCAGCAGCCUCCUCCCCCUCCCCCCACCCUCCCCUGCUCCACAUGUACCUGAAGCCCUUGCAAGGCUAAGCCUGGGCUCAUCUCUGAAGAUGGGCUUCCCUCAGUGCCUCUCUGUGUCCCCCACCCACCUCGCUCUCCUUAUCAAAGCUGGUUU
rnacentral:lncRNA from 1 species